rnacentral:lncRNA from 10 species
GGAGGAUUAACACAGUGGCUGAACACCGGGAAGGAACUGGCACUUGGAGUCCGGACAUCUGAAACUUGAUCUAGAGAACACAUGCAAUUUUGUUACAUGGGAAUACUGUGUUGUGCUGAGGUCUGGAGUAUGGAUCCCUUCACCCAGGACUGUGAAUGCAGCCCGUGAAAAAGAGGGUUUUCGGAAGCUUGACAUUUAUGAGGGUGAGGAAUUGACAAGCCGACAUCAGUCUCCAGAGUGAAUCCAAGGAGUGGACCCAAGACAUUUGUGUUCUGUGAUGUGGUGGCAUGUUACCUGUCAUCUCCGAUGCAUAACUCCUAAAGUGCGUCUGGGGCAGUUGUACAGAUUGCAGAGGAUAAUACUCAAGAUGUUCUCCAAGGCCAACUAGUCAUCAGUUUAUUCAUGUUUCUGGGAUUGGAUUCAUGAACUCAUCCUUUGAACUAUUUCAACAAGCUUUUUCAUGUAACUAAUCUGCGGAAGGUAGAAAGGGGAAAACUGUUGGGUGCUAAAAUGACAACUGGUUCAAGGAGAAGCGUCAGAUAAUUAGGCAGCAGUCCAACAAUUAGGUUUUGUGGAACUUUUACUAUGUCAUCUAUUUAUUGGAAUUCCCCCUGGAUACCAGGACCCCCUCCAGCAGAGCUUAAAGUUAUAGUUACAGGAAGUACAAAUUCCUUAUGUGGAUCCCUGGAAGUGUGAUGAGAAGAACCACUGUUUCCAAGAUCUAUUUAUUCUAUUUAUCAGGCCUAUAAAAUCAUGUAAUGGCCAUGGCUUCAACUAGACUCC